AAGUCUUUCCUUUUCUCGUAAUCUGGCGAGGGACUAGGAGCAUUCUUCUGUUGCUCUGAGCAGUUAACAUUCCAGUAUAAUUAAUGGCUGUUUUUGGGGUGGAAAAACGAAGCAAAAGUUCAGCAGUUUUGUGUUUUCAAGUGAUUGAGGCGAAUCCCCCCUGAAUAGAAGGAAACAACAACAACUGAUUUGGACGAUGGCGUGAGACUGAAGAAUGCAGACUAGAGACCAGUCAUGUCAAGCUUGGGAUCAUAAUAAGAUCAAAGCUGCUGUGGAACAGCUGGUAAGAACAAGACUGAAAAUUGGAUGAGGAUUUAAUGUCAGAUGGUCCAAAAUUGUGAGAUUUCUCUAAUCAGCUGGGUUUGAAAGCAGGUUUGUGACCCAAAGAUGACUUUCCUGGAGAGAGACUGUUUCUUUAAUGGUCCCUUGAUGCUUUUUAUUCAAAUACUCUGACCAGCCUGAAAACUGCUGCCCACAAGUCAACACACAAAUCUGAGCAAGGCAGCACUCCUCUGUUUAAAGAAAUUACAUUAACUUUGCCAAGUUGUAUUAUCUUAAUAAAGACUCAGUUUUCUGGUGUAACCCCUGAUCAUGUUGUAUUUGUUCUGAUAAAGAAAUUUUGUCAUUU